CAGCCGCCACGGUAAUACAGAGGGUGCGAGCGUUAAUCGGAUUUACUGGGCGUAAAGCGUGCGUAGGCGGCUUUUUAAGUCGGAUGUGAAAUCCCUGAGCUUAACUUAGGAAUUGCAUUAGAUACUGGGAAGCUAGAGUAUGGGAGAGGAUGGUAGAAUUCCAGGUGUAGCGGUGAAAUGCGUAGAGAUCUGGAGGAAUACCGAUGGCGAAGGCAGCCAUCUGGCCUAAUACUGACGCUGAGGUACGAAAGCAUGGGGAGCAAACAGGAUUAGAUACCCCGGUAGUCCCUGUCUCUUAUAA
rnacentral:rRNA from 1 species